UCCCUGGAGGACUAGUGGUUAGACCUUGGUGCUCCCACCACUGCAGUCUGGGUUCAAUUCCGGCCAGGGAA